AUGCUAGUACAACUUCAAGAUCAAAACGAAGAAUGCAAUUGGAAGAAAAUACUUGAUUCAUUAAUCCCAAAAUUCAUUACAAAAUACACAAGGAGUUUUACAAAAUCACAUAUUAUCCUUAUCAUUACAUCAAGAUUACAAGAAAAUCACAUGAAAAUCUAUGCAAAACUAAAACCAAAGUCUUCGUCGUCUUUCAUGCUCUAA